rnacentral:rRNA from 1 species
GACGAACGCUGGCGGCGUGCCUAAUACAUGCAAGUCGAACGCAGUGGGGACGGGUGAGUAACACGUGGGUAACCUCCCAUCAGAGGGGAUAACACUUGGAAACAGGUGCUAAACCGAUACUGAUGGAUGGACCCGCGGUGCAUUAGCUAGUUGGUGGGGUAACGGCUCACCAAGGCCACGAUGCAUAGGCCACCGUAGAGGGUGAGCGGCCAAACGGGGACUGAGAAACGGCCCAGACGCGCACGGGAGGCAGAAGUAGGGAAUCUUGGGAAAUGGACGAAAGUCGGACCGAGCAACGCCGCGUGAGUGAAGAAGGUUUUCGGAUUGUAAAACUCUGUUGUUAGAGAAGCGGUAUCUAACCAGAAAGCCACGGCUAACUACGUGCCAGCAGCCGCGGUAAUAC